GGAAGUAAAAGUCGUAAACAAGGUUUCCGUAGGUGAACCUGCGGAAGGAUCAUUACAGAAAUAGGAGAAGGUUGCUUAUCUGCAAUCCUUUUCUUUCUACACAUGUGUUUUUCUUUUUUUUGAAAACUUUGCUCUGGUGGGCCCACGGCCUGCCAGAGAUUAAACUCAACCAAAUUUUUAUUUAAUUGCCAACUUGAUUAACUAAUAGUCAAAACUUUCAACAACGGAUCUCUUGGUUCUCGCAUCGAUGAAGAACGCAGCGAAAUGCGAUAAGUAAUAUGAAUUGCAGAUAUUCGUGAAUCAUCGAAUCUUUGGACGCACAUUGCGCCCUUUGGUGUUCCAAAGGGCAUGCCUGUUUGAGCGUCAUUUCUCCCUCAAACCUUCGGGUUUGGUGUUGAGCGAUACGCUGGGUUUGCUUGAAAGAAAGGCGGAGUAUAAACUAAUGGAUAGGUUUUUUUUUUCCACUCAUUGGUACAAACUCCAAACAUUCUUCCAAAUUCGACCUCAAAUCAGGUAGGACUACCCGCUGAACUUAAGCAUAUCAAUAAGCGGAGGAAAAGAAACCAACAGGGAUUGCCUUAGUA
rnacentral:rRNA from 1 species